rnacentral:lncRNA from 1 species
GGCGCCGGAGGGGCGAGCGUGGCAGGGACCCCGAGCGCUCACCUUUGAGGAAGUAGACCCGCGGGCCGGCGGGCAGGCAAGCGAGCAGCGAGGUGAGCACGACACGCGCGGCGCUCUCCUCUCGCAGCUUCUGCCAGUGGCGGCUGCCCUAGCACCACCGAGUUGAGGUUGACGUUGAGCGAGCCGCGCACGUUCGAGGCAGCGAAGGCCAGAUAGGGCCGGCAGUCGAGCACCACGCAGCGCGCCGCCGUCUCCUUGCGGAGCAUCUUGCGCAGCUGGCGCCCGUCGAGCGACGUGACCUUCAGCGAGGCACGGGAGGGCGACCCGCGGGGCUGCGGCC